rnacentral:misc_RNA from 1 species
GACUGUUUAAUGAACCCCUUGCCUGAAACAGUUAGUACUACUGUAGUUGCCAAGCGAUACAUGUUUCUUUCAGCUGCACUAAUAGAAGUUUCCCCACCAAAAAUGCCAGUUACUGAACUAGCGCUUCACUAUAAGCUUCUUGAAGAAUUGCUUGGCAGUAUGAGCCAUUCAUCUCCACAAGUGAGGGAAUCCAUUGGUGUCACCCUCUCUGUUUUAUGCUCAAACAUUCGGCUCCAGGUGUCCUGCAAUCAAGCUCAUCCACAUGAAGUAGGAACAAGUAAUGUGAACAGGAAAGUUGAAGCAGGGAAUUGGGAUCAUUAUCUAGUAGAACGUGCAUCUGAGCUUGUGGUGAAGAUCCAAAGUUUUAGCCAGUCAGACACUCUGGAUGUGCAAACGGACAUGAUUUCUGACAAUGGAGUAUUAACCGAACAGUCUCAUGAUGAUGUUAAAUGGAUGGAGACGCUAUUUCAU